rnacentral:tRNA from 1 species
GCCUGGCUAGCUGAGUCGGUAGAGCAUGAGAUUCUUAAUCUCCGGGUUGUGGGUUGGAGCCCCAUGCUGGGUG